rnacentral:rRNA from 1 species
AACGAACGCUGGCGGCAGGCCUAACACAUGCAAGUCGAGCGAGGACUUCGGUCCUAGCGGCGGACGGGUGAGUAACGCGUGGGAACGUGCCCUUUGCUACGGAAUAGCCCUGGGAAACUGGGAGUAAUACCGUAUGUGCCCUUUGGGGAAAGAUUUAUCGGCAAAGGGUCGGCCCGCGUUUGAUUAGGUAGUUGGUGGGGUUAUGGCCUACCAAGCCGACGAUCCAUAACUGGUUUGAGAUGAUUAUCAGCCACACUGGGACUGAGACACGGCUCAGACUCCUACGGGAGGCAGCAGUGGGGAAGCUUAGACAAUGGGGGAAACCCUGAUCUAGCCAUGCCGCGUGAGCGAUGAAGGCCUUAGGGUUGUAAAGCUCUUUCAGUGGGGAAGAUAAUGACGGUACCCACAGAAGAAGCCCCGGCUAACUCCGUGCCAGCCGCCGCCGUAAUAC